rnacentral:rRNA from 1 species
UACGUAGGGUGCAAGCGUUGUCCGGAAUUAUUGGGCGUAAAGAGCGCGUAGGCGGCCCUGUAAGUCCGCUGUGAAAGUCAAGGGCUCAACCCUUGGAUGCCGGUGGAUACUGCAGGGCUAGAGUCCGGAAGAGGCGAGUGGAAUUCCUGGUGUAGCGGUGAAAUGCGCAGAUAUCAGGAGGAACACCGAUGGCGAAGGCAGCUCGCUGGGACGGUACUGACGCUGAGACGCGAAAGCGUGGGGAGCGAACAGG